GGGGCCGUUUAUGGAUUCGACGGGGAUAGUUCGAGCAUGAGUAGCGAGUAGUGGGGACGCGUCCACUUCAUCAACGCUAAAGCCUAUUAAACGGCAAACAACAACAACCUUACGCUUUAGCAGCUUAAUAACCUGUUAGCGUGCUCCUCCUCAGCAUCGCCCAUGUGACUGGGAGAGGGGCUCAACUAUAGUGGGAUACGCCGUUCGGUCUCCGCCUGGGGUCGACGGAAGAAGAUAAUCAGGCUGACCCAACGCAGAGCCGGUUACGGGGCGCUGCUCGGGUGACAUUAAAACUGUGACUACACUCGUAGAAACUUAUGUGGCGUUAUCUUCGGACAGGGGUUCAAAUCCCCUCGGCUCCAUAC
rnacentral:tmRNA from 1 species